rnacentral:lncRNA from 1 species
CGGUUGUAUAGGUAAGCAUUGAUUCAAGAUUAUUUGGUCUGAUUUCAAAAGAUAAAUGUUAGGAAAGUAAACAGUCGGAGUUUUUGGUCCUCCUUAAAAAAUUGUACCCGAAAAAUAACACUUGUUAUGGUUAUAGACGACCUGGGUGACUAUUUCAUUAUUGGAAUGCAUCAAGUCCCCCUUGAUCGCAACUAUUGGCCUGCGAAGAUGGCAAAAUUUACCCGUGGUUCAUAGAAACAGACGAAAAUAGCUGCAACAUCUCUAACCCGAACUAAUGUCAGUCGUUAUAUUUCGCCGCCGUCUCCGACUAAUCUCCGAUCGCUACAUUAACCUCGAUAGGCUAUCAGGCGCUAGAGGUCGCAGAAUUUUUCGAGUUACAACAUCUCUAGGACAUCCACAUUUUAUGAAUUUAACUUGUUGUUUGGUUAAUAUCCAUUGGCAAGUAUUUCAUGCAAAUUCAGGACGAAAACAAAUCAUUUAA